rnacentral:rRNA from 1 species
GAUGAACGCUGGCGGCGUGCUUAACACAUGCAAGUCGAACGAAGAAGCCCAGCUUGCUGUGUGGAUUAGUGGCGAACGGGUGAGUAACACGUGAGUAACCUGCCCUUAACUCUGGGAUAAGCAUGGGAAACUGGGUCUAAUACCUAAUAGGAGCUUCCACCGCAUGGUGGGUGUUGGAAAGAUUUAUCGGUUUUGGGUGGAUUCGAGGCGGAUCAGCUUGUUGGUGAGGUAAUGGCACCCCAAGGCGACGACGGGUAGCCGACCCGGGAGGGUGACCGGCCACCCUGCGCCUGCGACACGCACCAGAAUCCUACGGGCGGCAGCAGUGGGGAAUAUUGCACAACGGGGGCAAGCCUGAUGCAGCGACGCUGCGUGAGUGAUGACGGCCUUCGGGUUGUAAACAUAUUUCAGUAGGGAAGAAGACAACGUGACGGUACCUGCAGAAGAAGCACCGGCUAACUACGUG